rnacentral:lncRNA from 1 species
GUUGGGAUGUGGCCUCUAUACUUGAUUCUUCUUUUGCUGACUUCCAUGUUCCUUGUCGGCAUAGGGUUUUCUGAGUCUGGCUCAAAGACUUCCACAUUAAAUGUUUCCCAGGUCAUGAAGAAAGAUCCUCAUGAGAAUUCAUUGCCUGAGGGUUUUCUUCUAAACUCUUUCACAAUUUAAUGACUGGGCAGCUUUGAUGCUUUUAAAACUGUGAAUUCUUGUUACCGCUGCCAAAAAGGGAACUCUUGUUCUCCAACUUCUAUUGGAGCGCUGCAUGAUUCCUGUAAGAUGAGAAGCAGGCAGACAUUUCUGGCUUUUUCCUUGUAAUCUAACCUUGGUUUCAUUUUAUAUGCACAGCAUUCUCAUUGUGGAGCUCUUUCAUUGGGCUGUUGCUGGAUGGGAGUGCCUCUUUCCACAGAUUAUUUAGCUGCCAGGGAUUUCAGAGAGCCAAAAAGAGUUAAGAUAGGCUGGCUGUGCUCCAGGUUGUGUGUCGUUGUCUCAUUGUGGAUGCUGAGGAUGUUAGCACUCUGAAGGAAGCUUUUGUGUCAUCUGACAGGAAUCAUUGAACACUGACUGGACUCCAGCACAAUGCAGCUCGUUUUCACUGUCUGAAUUUCGUCUGCACCCAUGAAAAGCAAGUCAGAGGUGUGAGAAGACUGCUUCACCUUGGACUUGCCUUUGUUGUGUUUUGUGUUUUUUCUAGAGAGCCACUGCAAGGCCCAGGAUGAAGAGAGACAGUGAGAAGAUCCCAACCAUUUAUCACUGACACCGGCAUCUGUGGUCUCAGAUCCUUCCAGCGGUCCCUGCAGUCGGGUCCAGUGGAGAAGGAGGCAUUUCAGGACUGUGAAGUGAUUGCUGGAAACCGCUCUUCUAACUCCAUUCCAGAAAGAGUCUGUGUGCAAGAAUCUGGCCCCAUGGGGAUUGGAAUAUAAUCUGGUGAAGUUGAGGGACCCCAUCUAUUUCUCACCAGAUUGUAUCCUCACCUCUAUCUGAUCUUGUUGCUGUUCACAUUUUAUGUCCCAAGAUAAAGUCCCAAUAUGAUGGAAGAGGCCUUCCUCAUGACUUGAAGCACCUACUCAUCUGGGGAAAAUUUAGGUGAAUUCAAGUGGCCCUGUGGACAGGACUAGUAGUGUCUCUCCCUGGGUUGGUCAUAUGACAAUAAAAUCCUAAGAAAGGUU